CGCUGAGCCUGGUAUUCGGAUGUGGGAGCAGUGAAGGGGCGGUCAGCAGCUCCCUCAGACCCAGCGUGGCCUCCUCCUUUCGACCCCCCACACCUGGAUGUUGAAGGGCUGUUUACUCCAUCCUUGGCAGGUCAAGAUGGAGGCCUGCCCUUGCCUGCAGUGUUCAUGUGCUGUGAGUGCCCUCAUGCUUCCCUGCAAAUCAGGCCCAAAUAGUUAACUUUUACCAUUAUUUGCAAGGCAGAGUUGGACAGAGCUUAGAGCAACCUGGUCUAGUGGAAGGUGUGCUUGUCCAUGGCAGGGGGUUGGACCUGGAUUUACAUCAAAGAGCAAGAUGCUAGCAACAGCUGAAGUGAAUAGACCCCAUUGAAUGCUUAAGUAAACAAUGGGUUUCCGCAGAAAACAGCUUAUUGCCUUUAACUGAAGCUCUUUGAGGAAGAAAACCAUGCACUUUGUCAUGCAAAUACUAAUUGUGGCAAGCAGUGGCUCUAGACAACGCCCCUACUGCCGCCAAGACCCCGCUGCCUUCCUUCCUCAGCUUGUGGCGUGAAGGCGAGUAUUCCGGCCGCGAGCCCCAAAACGAGGGGGUUUAUGUAAGCAAGGUGAAAA